AUACUUACCUGGCGUAGGGAUACCGUGAUCAUGCAGGUGGUUCCUCCAGGGUGAGGCUGCUCCAUUGCACUGCGGAGUGGUUGACCCUUGCGAUUAUUUUUUUAUUGCUUAAAUGAGUCGACGAGCUCACAGUCCGCCUGGUGUUAGGUGGCUUUGGAGACCAUAGACAU